rnacentral:rRNA from 1 species
ACACUCCUACGGGAGGCAGCAGUGGGGAAUUUUGGACAAUGGGCGAAAGCCUGAUCCAGCCAUGCCGCGUGCAGGAUGAAGGCCUUCGGGUUGUAAACUGCUUUUGUACGGAACGAAACGGCCUUUUCUAAUAAAGAGGGCUAAUGACGGUACCGUAAGAAUAAGCACCGGCUAACUACGUGCCAGCAGCCGCGGUAAUACGUAGGGUGCAAGCGUUAAUCGGAAUUACUGGGCGUAAAGCGUGCGCAGGCGGUUAUGUAAGACAGUUGUGAAAUCCCCGGGCUCAACCUGGGAACUGCAUCUGUGACUGCAUAGCUAGAGUACGGUAGAGGGGGAUGGAAUUCCGCGUGUAGCAGUGAAAUGCGUAGAUAUGCGGAGGAACACCGAUGGCGAAGGCAAUCCCCUGGACCUGUACUGACGCUCAUGCACGAAAGCGUGGGGAGCAAACAGGAUUAGAAACCCUUGUAGUCCCAUGA